rnacentral:tRNA from 1 species
GAGGGUAUAGCUCAAGUGAUAGAGCACAUGCUUAGCAUACAUGAGGUCCUGGGUUCAAUCCGGUACCUCCU